GGGCACAAAUGCUCAAGUCUACUCUGGGGAAAUGCCAGAUCAUGAAAUUUGGACCCAGAGCAGGUGAUCUAUCUAAGGUCACACAGCUCAUUUGACAGAUGAAGAAACUGAGGCAAACAGGGUGAAGUGACUUGUUCGGGGUCACACAGCAUCUGAGGUUGGAUUUGAAUUCAGGUCUUCCUGACUCCAGGCCUGGCGUUCUAUCCAUUGCGCCACCUUGCUGAAGAUUAAAGGAGUUUCACAGAAGAACCA
rnacentral:lncRNA from 1 species